rnacentral:rRNA from 1 species
GUGAGGAAUAUUGCGCAAUGGAGGCAACUCUGACGCAGCCAUGCCGCGUGCAGGAAGAAGGCGCUACGCGUUGUAAACUGCUUUUAACCGGGAAGAAACCCCAGGACGUGUCCUGGGUUGACGGUACCGGAGGAAUAAGCACCGGCUAACUUCGUGCCAGCAGCCGCGGUAAUACGAAGGGUGCAAGCGUUAUCCGGAUUCAUUGGGUUUAAAGGUUGCGUAGGCGGAGCGUUAAGUCAGUGGUGAAAUCCUGCAGCUUAACUGUAGACUUGCCAGUGAUACUGGCGCUCUUGAGUGCGCUUGAAGUGGGCGGAAUGUGCCGUGUAGCGGUGAAAUGCUUAGAUAUGGCACAGAACACCAAUUGCGAAGGCAGCUCACUAAGGCGAUACUGACGCUGAGGCACGAAAGCGUGGGGAUCGAACAGGAUUAGAAACCCGGGUAAUCC